rnacentral:siRNA from 1 species
AGUCGAGUCCCAUGUAAGAUGAGC